UACGUAGGGGGCAAGCGUUGUCCGGAUUUAUUGGGCGUAAAGAGCGUGUAGGCGGCCAAGCAGGUCCGCUGUGAAAACUGGAGGCUCAACCUCCAGCCUGCAGUGGGUACGGGCAGACUAGAGUGCGGUAGGGGAGACUGGAAUUCCUGGUGUAGCGGUGAAAUGCGCAGAUAUCAGGAGGAACACCGGUGGCGAAGGCGGGUCUCUGGGCCGUA
rnacentral:rRNA from 1 species